UACGUAGGGUCCGAGCGUUGUCCGGAAUUAUUGGGCGUAAAGGGCUCGUAGGCGGUUCGUCACGUCGGGAGUGAAAACUCGGGGCUUAACCCCGAGCCUGCUUCCGAUACGGGCAGACUAGAGGUAGGCAGGGGAGAGCGGAACUCCUGGUGUAGCGGUGGAAUGCGCGGAUAUCAGGAAGAACACCAAUGGCGAAAGCAGCUUUCUGGGACGGUACUGACGCUGAGACGCGAAAGCGUGGGGAGCGAACAGG
rnacentral:rRNA from 1 species